rnacentral:rRNA from 1 species
GACGAACGCUGGCGGCGUGCCUAACACAUGCAAGUCGAACGGAGUGGCGAACGGGGGAGUACCACGUGGGUGAACUGCAUUGCACUUCGGGUUAAGCUUGGGAAACUGGGUGUAAUACCGGAUAGUGCAAGAUGAGCUGGCGGCCUAUCAGCUGGUAGGGGGGGUAAUGGCCUACCAAGGCGUCGACGGGUAGCCGGCCUGAGCGGGUGUACGGCAACAUUGGGGCUGAGAUAGGGGCCAGAAGGGUACGGGAGGCAGCAGAGGGGAAUAUUGCAGAAUGGGUGGAGGUCGGAUGCAAGGACGCCGGGUGGGAAAGGAAGGGCUGCGGGUUGUAAACUCCGUUCUACGGGGACGCGGUACCUAUAUAGAAAGCAACGGCUAACUACGUGCCAGCAGCCGCGGUAAUUC